rnacentral:lncRNA from 1 species
UUUUCUGGAAGGAAGCUUGCAUGUUCGCUAUUUAGGAUUUCCCCUUAUCCCGGGGAAGCUCUCUUCUCGAGAUCGUGACAUUUUGAUUGAGUGUAUUACAGCGAGAAUAAAGGGAGGUGGCUGCCUUUUUUCAUUUAAAAGGACUAUAAAAGAAUUUCAAGGGGAGAGGGGAUAGAGCAAAGAAGAAAGGACGAUAGUUUUCCUGCCGAUUACAACGAAAAAUCUCUACCCAAUCCCACUACACCUCAAUCUCAAUACACCCCAAUCCCAUUACACCAAGUCCUACUACAAAAAAAACAGAUAAGAAUAAACAUAAGAAUACAAACACAAGUGCUUUUAAUAAAAGUUUCGAGAAUCCAUCGUCAAAGCUUCCGAAGUUUCAAAUUCUUGGAGCAAGCGGCCCAGAGAUCUUAUCAACACUGUCAAAGAAGAAGAGCAAAAAUCAGUUUUUGAAGGUUGGUCCUUCUAAACGAAACACUUUCCCAAUUUUCAAACAUUCAUAUAACUCUCAUAUCUUUAUUUCUAUGAUUAUGAUUGUUUAUGUCCUAUGUCAUCUUCAUCUACCAUGUUAUUGUUAAAACCCUUUUUUAAUCUAAUGAUCAUCAAAACUAAAUGAUCCAAAUAACUCAUUUAAGAUGUAGCAAUAUCACACAAAAAAAACAAUUAUCACAAAAAAACAAAGACUGUUCUCACUAAAUAAAAGCUUGCUGGAAAACAUUAUCAAAAGGAUUAAAAUGAGCAAUGUCAAGCCAUUUUAGCACCAUCAAUAUUAAGACUCAAAACCGUACAAGGACUUAACAUGUGACACUACAAUCAAGCAAAACAUUGACAUUUUCGUCUAAUAACUAUUGCUGAAAUUUUACUAAAAGUGGCAAAAUGAUCAAAUCUUUUAAACAAAUAAGUCAUUUUUAUGGUGAUUAGAUUACUGAAUUCGUUUCAAUAACAAGAUAACCAAAUUCUCAUCUUUCAAUCUACAUAUUUUAACCUUAAUGAAUGACAAAGUUGUUUCUACCAAACAAAACUAUAAUAAUUAGAGGCUAAGUGUUUUACAUUUCUAAAAAGUUGCCUCUAAUCUUCUCCGCUCCUUUCCAGCGAAUCAGAUUUGUGUUUUUUUGUUCACCUGAAACAAACCCAAAAAGUCAGUCUCCUUCCUUUCUGUUUUCGAAAUAAAUUAACUAAGAACAAUAAAAUAGAGUUUUUUUUUAUACCUAAUUCACCAUCCCUUGUCCGUCUCUUUCCGGGCCGGCAGACCUUUUUUAUUUUCUUUCUCCUGUUCGCUCUUCU